rnacentral:lncRNA from 1 species
AAAAGGGUAAAUAUACUAAAAUAUGGUACAAUAGCUCUUCUUUUGUUGUCUUGCUAAUUGAUGCCUUCCCAUGUCUUUCUCUAGGAAAGUCCGCAUAUUCGCUACUGCCCAUCCUGCCGAGAAGGCUUGUGUCAGAAGUACUGUUUCUUCAAAUGGAUGAGGUUGUUUUUCUGGAGAAGAUGGCUUCUAGGAACAUUACCUAUAGUUUCUUUAAUAGUUACGGUAAUCGUGCUAGUCCUGCGCUAUUCAUUCUGUAAGUGUUACUCCCCAGCACGGUCUUGAUGGGAUAUUUUGCACUGUGCGAAUGAUUAGUAUGAAAAGCUCUAUACUAAGUAACUAAGCACGUAAUGCUUGUAUAAACUACUGACUUUCUCUUCUCCUUAACGUGUUUGCUAAAGCAACAAAAUGCACAAUAAUUAGCAGUUGGUAGCUGCACGAGAAUAAUGAAGGUAUGUAUUUUAUCUCUAAAUUUUUUGUCUCUGCUUGUGAAUACCAUCAUUAUUAUAACUGUCAUCUUUCCCAAGAUCCUAUAGGAAUUAACUAUCUAUCUUCUAUUCAAUUCCCCAAAAUGGAAUGGGUACCUAACUUUUGUAUGUUCCUUCCCAGAUCUCAACACAGCCAUUAAAACUGUAUCGCCUCAGGAGGAUAGUGCUGCAAAAAAUGGAAGUUUAGCAAUUAAAGCUUCCUGGUAGAAAUGCCUCUCUGAACCUGUACCUCAUUCCUCUCUUUUCCUUCUGGGCAUUAUUCUGUCAAUGGGACUGACUCAGCACUCUGGCUAUUACUGUAUGCUUCUCUUAAGAACUAAUGCCUACAGAUGCCAAGGACAAAUACAUGCUUCUGCAAGCCUCUUGUUCUGGAAACUUUUCUAUGAUGUUAUUAGGUGUGCUAAUUUUUUUUAUAUUUUUUUUUCCCCCCCCCUCAGCUCCAACUUUCUCCUAUAUUUAUAUUGGUGGAAGUGUAGAAAUUCCUAAUUUGACUUAUACAAAUGACCUCAAUGAUCCAAAGUCACAGAAAUUCCUCCUGCAAGCAGAAGCAAUCCAAAAUUAUUUUGCAGAAAUAUAUGAGUCUUCCUCCUUGGGAAAGUACUACUUGAAGUCUGUAGUGUCUGCUUUCAGUGAAGGAGAGUCUGGACUUCGAGCUUACUACUGGAAUACAUUCUGGGCACCACAAGAUAUGGUUGCUUCUCUUAAAAAGUUAACCCCAGUGGAACAAAAAGAAAUCAGUAGUAAACAAGCAUCUCACAUGUUCGGUUCUUCUGGGGAGGAAGAUUUUGAUCUUGUUGCAAUGGAGCUUUUUGGUAACAAUGUACCUGUCAUUUAA